rnacentral:rRNA from 1 species
GUGGCAUCUGAUUUGCUUAUUGCACCACAUGUGUUUUUCUUUGAAACAAACUUGCUUUGGCGGUGGGCCCAGCCUGCCGCCAGAGGUCUAAACUUACAACCAAUUUUUUAUCAACUUGUCACACCAGAUUAUUACUAAUAGUCAAAACUUUCAACAACGGAUCUCUUGGUUCUCGCAUCGAUGAAGAACGCAGCGAAAUGCGAUACGUAAUAUGAAUUGCAGAUAUUCGUGAAUCAUCGAAUCUUUGAACGCACAUUGCGCCCUCUGGUAUUCCGGAGGGCAUGCCUGUUUGAGCGUCGUUUCUCCCUCAAACCGCUGGGUUUGGUGUUGAGCAAUACGACUUGGGUUUGCUUGAAAGACGGUAGUGGUAAGGCGGGAUCGCUUUGACAAUGGCUUAGGUCUAACCAAAAACAUUGCUUGCGGCGGUAACGUCUACCACGUAUAUCUUCAAACUUUGACCUCAAAUCAGGUAGGACUACCCGCUGAACUUAAGCAUAUCAAAAGCGGAGGAA